UACGAGGGGAGCAAGCGUUGUUCGGAUUUACUGGGCGUAAAGGGCGCGUAGGCGGCGUGACAAGUCACUUGUGAAAUCUCCGGGCUUAACUCGGAACGGUCAAGUGAUACUGUCGUGCUAGAGUACAGAAGGGGCAACUGGAAUUCUCGGUGUAGCGGUGAAAUGCGUAGAUAUCGGGAGGAACACCAGUGGCGAAGGCGACUACCUGGCCUGUUCUUGACGCUGAGGCGCGAAAGCUAGGGGAGCAAACGGG
rnacentral:rRNA from 1 species